GACGAACCGUCCAAACGUUAUUCGGUAUCACUGGGCUUAAAGCGUGCGUAGGCGGCCUGGUAGGUGAGAUGUGAAAGCCCACGGCUCAACCGUGGAAUUGCGUUUCAAACCACCAGGCUGGAGGAUGGCAGGGGUGAUGGGAACUGAUGGUGGAGCGGUGAAAUGCGUUGAUAUCAUCAGGAACACCGGUGGCGAAGGCGCAUCACUGGGCCAUUUCUGACGCUGAGGCACGAAAGCUAGGGUAGCGAACGGGAUUAGAAACCCCCGUAGUCC
rnacentral:rRNA from 1 species